rnacentral:rRNA from 1 species
GUGGGGAAUCUUAGACAAUGGGGGAAACCCUGAUCUAGCCAUGCCGCGUGAUCGAUGAAGGCCUUAGGGUUGUAAAGAUCUUUCAGCUGGGAAGAUAAUGACGGUACCAGCAGAAGAAGCCCCGGCUAACUCCGUGCCAGCAGCCGCGGUAAUACGGAGGGGGCUAGCGUUAUUCGGAAUUACUGGGCGCAAAGCGCACGUAGGCGGAUCAGAAAGUCAGAGGUGAAAUCCCAGGGCUCAACCUUGGAACGGCCUUUGAAACUCCUGGUCUUGAGUUCGAGAGAGGUGAGUGGAAUUCCGAGUGUAGAGGUGAAAUUCGUAGAUAUUCGGAGGAACACCGGUGGCGACGGCGGCUCACUGGCUCGAUACUGACGCUGAGGUGCGAAAGCGUGGGGAGCAAACAGGAUUAGAAACCCCAGUAGUCC